CUCUUGUAUGUUUAUAUUUGUCUUCUUUUGCCUUCUGGGAAAUGGGACAGCAUUCAACAACAACAGUUCCAGUCUAUCUCAACUGAAGUCUUCUUUUCCUCCAAAAGGACAGUUAUUAGCAUCUACAAGAUUGUCAAUAAAGGACUUCUUGUGUGAGGCUUCCACAGCAUGUACCUGAAACUUGACCUUAAGGUACUCCAUUAUGGGGUGCCCCAGCCCACCAUACCCAGAAGAAUUUGGAGGCUGGACACCAGCUCGGAGUGGUGGGACUGGCUGGUCAUGGAACAGUGGGAUGACUAGCAAUGGGUGCAGAACUUCCACAUGCAGAAGGCCACCUUCCAGGAGCUCUGUACCUGGCUGGCACCUGCCCUCCAAUGAUGUGACACGCAUCUGCAGCCCGCCAUCCCACUCCAACAGCAGGUUGCCAUCGCCCUCUGGAAGCUGGCCACCCCUGACAGCUACCACUGGAGGCCGUCCUUAUGCAAGUCAUCCGGGCCAUCAACUCCCUGCUGCUGUGCAGAGUCAUCUAGUUCCAGGACCUUGACGCCACCAUGGGCAGCUUUGCUGUGCUGUGCUUCCCCAACUGUGCAGGAGCAAUCGACAGCACGCACAUCCCCAUCCCCGGGCCCUGGAUCAUCGAGUGGCCCAGUUUGUCAACCAAAAAGGCUACUUCUCCGUAGUCCUGUAGGCCCUGGUGGACCACCGGGGCCACUUCACAAACAUUUAUGUGGGGUGGCUGGGCAGGACUCACGAUGCCCGUGUUUUCCACAACUCUAGCCUGUGUGCUCAGCUGGAGGUGGGCACCGUUUUUCUCUGACGAGUUCCCUAUGGGUGACCAGACUAUGCCAGUGUGCAUAGUGGGGGAUGCGGCAUACCCACUAAUGCCCUGGCUAAUGCGCCCCUACACCGGCCACUUGGUCAAAGGACAUAUUCAGUGCUCGCCUGAACAGAGCCCGCCUCCAGGUAGAGUGCACCUUUGGGUGUUUGAAAGGACGGUUCUGCUGCCUCCUCACCUGCCUAGACGUUG